rnacentral:misc_RNA from 1 species
GAUGAAGAACGCAGCGAAAUGCGAUAAGUAGUGUGAAUUGCAGAAUUCAGUGAAUCAUCGAAUCUUUGAACGCACAUUGCGCCCCUUGGUAUCCCGAGGGGCAUGCCUGUUCGAGCGUCAUUUCACCACUCAAGCCUGGCUUGGUGUUGGGCGACGUCCUCUUUGGGGACGCGCCUCGAAACGCUCGGCGGCGUGGCACCGGCUUUAAGCGUAGCAGAAUCUUUCGCUUUGGAAGUCGGGGCCCCGUCUGCCGGAAGACCUGCUCGCAAGGUUGACCUCGGAUCAGGCAGGGAUACCCGCUGAACUUAAGCAUACAAUAAGCGGAGGA